rnacentral:rRNA from 1 species
UGGGAACCUUCCCUAUGGUUCGGGAUAGCUCAGGGAAACUUGGGGUAAUACCGGAUAAGCCCUUCGGGGGAAAGAUUUAUCGCCAUUGGAUGGGCCCGCGUCGGAUUAGCUAGUUGGUGAGGUAACGGCUCACCAAGGCAACGAUCCGUAGCUGGUCUGAGAGGAUGAUCAGCCACACUGGGACUGAGACACGGCCCAGACUCCUACGGGAGGCAG